CGGCGCCACCUCGCACGUGGCAGUGGAGUGCAGGUGUUCACCACCUGGCAGGGGGCCCACGCGGCGAGGCGCCCUUGGGAAAGGCGAGCGCGGGUCCGGACGCAGGAAUCGCCAGUUGCGGUGUUGCGGCCUGAUGACACCGGAGCAGUUAAAACGGGCCUGGCCCGAGCGCUGCAACGUGCAGGUUCGGCCUCUGGUUUCCCAGUCCUCGGGUUCCGGAUGUAUUCGGCUUCGUGAAGGCGGUAGCUGCGACACAAGAACUACCCCAGAAACGAGGGGAAUCUUUGAGGGGAUUGAGAGCAAAUUUUCUUUAAGGACACCUGCUAUACCUGAUGAGGACAUUUGCUACUUGGUACCUGGCCAAAAGGACUCACUGGCACACUGCAGCUUUAACCACACCAGCAAAACCUUCCUGGUGAUCCAUGGAUGGACGGUAACUGGGAUGUAUGAGAGCUGGGUGCCAAAACUGGUGGAUGCUCUGUAUAAAAGAGAGCCUGACUCUAAUGUCAUUAUUGUAGAUUGGCUAACUAGAGCCCAGCAACACUAUCCAGUAUCUGCUGCAUACACUAAACUGGUGGGAAAGGACGUGGCCUCUUUUAUUGACUGGAUGGAGGAGCAAUUUAACUACCCUUUUGAAAAUGUCCAUUUGCUGGGGUACAGUCUGGGAGCACAUGUAGCUGGGAUUGCUGGAAGUCUGACCAAAAAGAAGAUUAACAGAAUUACUGGUUUGGAUCCAGCUGGUCCUACCUUUGAAUAUGCUGAUGCACCUAUGCGCCUAUCCCCAGAUGAUGCUGAAUUUGUUGAUGUCCUACACACUUACACAAGGGGGUCCCCAGACCGGAGCAUUGGGAUACAGCAGCCAGUUGGGCAUAUUGAUAUCUAUCCUAAUGGAGGAGGCUUCCAGCCAGGCUGUAACCUAGGAGAAGCUCUGCGCCUCAUUGCAGAAAAAGGCUUUGGAGAUGUGGAUCAGCUCGUGAAAUGCUCUCAUGAACGUUCCAUCCAUCUCUUCAUUGACUCUCUAAUGUAUGAGGAAAAGCCAAGCAUGGCCUAUCGUUGUCAAACAAAGGAAGCCUUUGAAAAGGGGCUUUGUUUAAGCUGCAGGAAGAACCGCUGCAACAAAAUGGGUUAUCAGGUCCAUAAAGUGAGAACCAAGAGAAACAGUAAGAUGUAUCUGAAGACACGGUCUCAGGCACCCUAUAAAGUUUUUCAUUACCAGGUCAAGAUCCAUUUUUUUGGAAAGGAGAAUGUAACUAAGACAAGUCAGCCAUUGCUCAUUUCUCUGUAUGGCACAACGGAUGAGAGAAAGAACAUUGCCUUUAUACUACCUGAAAUUUCCACAAACAAGACCUACUCCUUUCUGGUUUACACAGAGGUGGAUAUUGGUGACUUACUUAGGCUGAGUCUGCAGUGGGAGAGAGACUCUUUUUUCAGUUGGACAGAAUGGUGGACCUCCUUCACAUUUGACAUCCACAGAGUGCGAGUGAAGGCUGGAGAAACCCAGAAAAAGAUGGUGUUCUGUUCUCAGGAUGGAGCUGCUCACCUCCAAAAGGGAGGGGAAGCUGUAAUGUUUGUGAAAUGCCUUGGUAACCCUGUCCGCAGAAGGAAAGCAGGGAUGUUCUCGGGUGUUGUCUGAAAUUAGGCAGCACGAAAAAUCUUGAGAGAACCUGUUCUUAUACAAAUCGGUAAAUCUGAAAAUUAUGAGAACAAUAGUCACAAUCAUCUCCAUAAGAUUUAGAAGACACAAGCCAAUUUCUGAAAUUAAAACUGACCCAUGAAUUUUCUGAAGAAUGUUAUGGAUGAAGAAAUUCUGUAUUGGGGAGGGGAGAGAAUACUGAAUGCAGUGGGUGUUCAGAACUGAAUAUAUUGAAAUGUAUAUCAGCUUCUGGCUUUUUUUGCCUGCUAUGCCUGGCUCUUUUUUUUUUUUUUUUCAGGGAAUCUCAGCACAUAGAAAGUAGCUACUAAAAUAUAAAGAACAUGUCAGCCAAGUAGUUAAAAAUGUUUUGCAAAAGGUGUGACAGCUUGAUUUACCAGGAAGAAAUAAGUGACUUUGCUUCAUUAUACCGCCUUGUAACAAGGUUUUUCAACAUAAAGUAUUGUACAGCAAAUUCCUAGUAUUUAUUGAGAAGUUUCAUAUCUGGGCCUAUAUUUUGGCUUUUUGUUAAUUGGUGUGUUAAUAUUUGUAUAAACUAGUUGGAGCUUUGUUUGUGCAGUUGGGCAACAUCAAUUGAGCUAACUGAACUUAUAGGCUCCUCACUAAUGUUUAAAACAAAGCUUUCGCAUGCAUGUUUAGCACCUAGUAGGUGUACUUAUUCUGAAGUGUGCACCUUGCUCCUGAUGAGGCUGUUGCUCCUUUUUAAGGCUGAGAACUGAGUGAAUCUGGAGACAGACUAUGCUGGACUGUGGAUAAUAGAGCUUGUACUUGGGGCAAAUUGCUGUGCUAUCACUACCUACCUAGCCUUAGCUGUGACCCAUAAAUGUAUAUAUAUAAUUACUCUAUUUAUCCUGCAAUAAACUUUCAGUGGUAGGAGAUGCUAGCAUUCUCAGUGUCCAAUGCAGAUAUUUUAAAAUUAAUCAGUAACCAUGUCUUUUUAAAACAAAACCGUUUAACUUCUGACAUUGCACUAAGUUAAGAACCACAAAAGAAUCAACAGACUGAAAACAGCACGUGAUUUUGUUUUCAGCACCUGUUUGUAUCACUAAUGCAAAAAUAAGCUGAAUACUGUGACUUUCUGCUCUUUGACACUGAACUUCAGUCAUCCGAUUAGGUCAGAGCUGCACUGGCCUUGUGUUCACCUGUAUUUUUCCUGACCGGCAAACCGGGAGACUGUGAUCAUUCUUUUCUUUGCUAAUAUUCUUAUUUCCAAAGACAAACCUCGGUGUAUUGCUUUGCUGUGACAUAGGAGCAGAUGCCAUUACAUUGAAGGAAGUUUUUCAGUACCUCUGACAUUUAAAGGAGCUUGAAUGUAUUACUCACAAAACACAAUGCUCUGUAAUCGCUUCAGUUAGAGGUGCUACAAGUAUACAACAGUACUGUAGAACUGAACAGUGUUUUUAUGCAUAUGUAAUUAAUUAUUUUAAUACCCAUAAAAAUUCAAGGGUAUGGCAAUUUGGAAAAGUAACACAAGAUUAUAUUUUGUAAUAUGUAUCUUUAUUACACAACAUCAAGCCCUCUCCUCCACUCCCUGUCCCCCCCUCUAUUAGGGAAGGUGGUAUUUCUGCAAAAUCACUAAAAUUGGAACAAAACUCAACAUUUUAACUUUAUUUAUAUCGCCAUGCCUUGUUCACAUUAGAUGAACAAAGCUGAAUACAGCAAUAUAAUUGCUAGAAGUUGAUCUAACCCAAAAAAGUGUGGUUGAGACGCGAUGAGAUAGUGAGGGUGAUGCUUGAAUACUGAAACCUUGCAUAUGAGCUCUCUUAAAGGAAUAAAUGAAGAAAUUGCAUUUUCUUCUUGACAUUCCUCUUUUUUACUUGCAGUUUUCUGAUGGAUGAUGUUUUGGAAAGGUGUGAGGAUGUGUAUACUUAUGACACAAGCUCUCAUAUAAUCCCUUACAGCACUUGAACACCAAAUGGUGAAGGUUUUUAUAAAUGAAGACACGGGAUUUAGCUUUAAAUAUUAUUUAUUAGCUGUAAAUAUAUAUAAUUUAUGUCUGUGUAAAGGUAGUCUGUAUAUAUUGCUGAGGCUAUUGAGGUAAUCUGCAUCUAUACAGUUGUGCAGUAUUAAUCCUGUAUGUAGCUUUCAGAAUGAGACUUUUUUUUACCAAUGAACUUCUUAGUCACAUGUUGAAAAUAACAGUGUAUUAUGCUUUUUUUUUUUUUUUUUUUUUUUAAGGGAAAGCUUCCUUACUUUGUACAGAAUGGAAACCUGUGAUCUUAAUAAACUUUGUCAAACUGAUUCCAAAGUAAGCCACUAGUUUUGUUUUGAAG